CUGAUCCUGUGUGGGGUUGAGGAUCCAGUCUAGGGCUUUGCAUGUUAGGAAAGUACCUUACUAACUGAGCUAAAUCUCCAGAUCCAGACCGCGUUUUGUGUUUCUAUUAUUUGCAAUAUUCAUUUAAAUUGGUCUUUUCUACAAACAAUUAUUUGUAAUUUGUGUGGUACAAUAGGUACCUUGAUAACAACGUUUCUGAAAAUGUAUGCAGAUGUAUCACUUGGAUAAAUUCUUAGACAGGAGAUGGAAGGUGGAAGGUAUCUGUACAUUCCUAAGGUCAGGAGGAAUAGUGAGCUAACUAGUGCUUUUCUCUUGUUACUGGGUGCUGUGGGCAAUCCAGAAGUGAAAGACUGUAUUUCCUACCCAGUGCAAGAAGAAAGCAAGAUGGAUUCCAGUGAGACGUUAAACUGCAGGACUUAUGUGUGAAGCCCAGGGUCUCCAGAGAGCGGGGUUAGAGAAGGCAGGACUAGACAAAGCAGUCAUGGUUGAGCAGACCAUGUCUGCAUUUCUAAAGGGGCAUGGGAUUUAAUUGGUGAGUGGCACGGGGAAACCAGAGGGUACUUUGCAAGGGACGGGGCCAGCCUUAGAGAGGGUGAGUGCUACACACACACACACACACACACACACACACACACACACACACACACGAUAGUACUCACAUAAAAUAGUGGCUUUGUGAAGAGAUCUGAUGCUGCUGGGGAUGUGAUGAGGGAUUGAGAGUAGUUGAGAGAUGGCUAAAAGCAGGAAAUGGAGACCAGGGAACUGUUUCAAGGAAGGGGUUAGAAAACAUUUGAAGGCUUCUGUGCAUUCCUCACUUGGGACAGUCCAUAGAAAACAGUCUUUAGAGUACCCUACAUCUCAAGUAAUUCACGCUACCCUCAGCUAGGUGCACACUUAGUAUCCCCUCACUUGGGAGGCUGAAGCAGGAGGUUUGCAGAAAAGAAAACAUAUCAUGCGUGGUUCUUUAGUCACUGACUACAGACAUGUAUCUAUCCGCAGAGACCUAGGCAUGAAGUGGCCAUAAGCUUGUAAAGGAGCUGAAAAUUUCCCAUUGGGUAGUGUUUGGAAACACAAAUAUCUCCUGACUGAGAGUUGCCUGUGGCAAUCAGUGUCAUGUUGUAUGGGCUUGUCAUGUAGGAGCAAAAGGCUUUGCCAUCUAGAUUUGUGUGAGUAUACGCCGAUAUUCCCAUGAUGAGACAUCAGGAGGUUUUUGUAAAUCUUACCUUGGUCUUGCAGGCCCUCCAGUGUCUGACUCUUGGUUCUUCUGCUCUUCACUCUCUGUCCCAGUAUUUACCUAAGUGAGCAAUCAUUUCAUUCACUAUGCUUUCCUUCUCAUGCUGCAUUUGUCGCCCAGAAAGCUCUAAUUGUCAUUCUUCAGUCUUAGCAAUUUUCAAAAGCACUCAGAGUUAGCUAGUGCUUCUGCUUGCAUUUCCUGUAGAGGGGUUUUAAUGCACUUUAUUGGGGCUUGGCAUAUCUCUUAAGCAUUUCUCCAAUUACAAAGGGGGCCCUUUAUAUAAUGUGGUUAUAGUUUAAAAAUUGUAAUUUCUCUGUGUGUGUAUAUAUGUAUGUAUGCAUAUGUGUUGAUGCAUGUAUACCACAGCACAUGUGUGGAAGCCACAGGACCACUUGUGGAAGUCAGUUCUUCAUUCUUCCACCAUGGACUUCCUGGCAUUGAACUCAGAUGGUCGGCUUGGUGGUAGGCGCCUUUACCCACAGAGAUAUUUUGCCUGCUGAAGACAACACUAUUUUAAUUGCUGAUACUGAUUUUCAUCAGUAAACUAAGGCAAUUGCCUAUUUAAUUUUAAGGAGAGUUAUGAGGAUGAAAAUAUAUGUGGCAAACAUUUCACAUGCAUAUAUAGGAAGAACUGAAGUGUUUUGCCCAUUUUCCACAUUUUCUAGACUUCAACUGUGUAUAUUAAUAAAAAAUAAUAAAUUAGUAGGGCAUUACAUUGCUGUUCUAAACUUGGUAGACUUUUCAGUGUAUUUUUGUAAGUCUUCACUUUUCAAUCUUAAUUUUCAGUGUCUGUGAUCAAGUUUAUCACAAAGCCUCACAGCCCUAUAUAUCGGAACGUUAAAAAAAACAAACAAACAAAGGUUGAUUUCAAGGAGGACCACUUGAAAAGGGAGUUACAAUGAGGGAUGGUCCACAUUAGGCUGGUCUCUGGGCCUGUCUGGGAGGAGUUUUUGUGAUUAGGUGUAUUGAUAGGACAAGACCCAGUUUGAAGGUGGAAGGCACCUGCCUCCAAACUCAGUAAUGCACACAUUAAUUCACUCUUCUGCUCAUGACUGUAGAUGUGCCAUGACUAGCUGUUUCUGGCCCUUGCUGCUGUGACUUUCCUGCUUUGAGGGACUGUGACUUGGAAGGGUCUGUGGAGGACAACAAGUUUCAACCUAAAACACUCCGAAAAGGUGCCGCCUACAGCAGGUGAUUUAAGCUCUGCGGCGCCUUCCUUGGCAAGUUGCUGCUUUGACUGCAGUGCUUUCCUUCAGCACUGUUGGCCUUCUCCUCCCUUUCCACCAGCUAAAGUGUGUGUGUAGCGUGCCCAGGCUUUCUGCCGUCACUGAGCGCCACUUUGUAUGUGUGCCGUAAGUUUCCCUUUCCCCGUUUGAUUUGAUGCUCUUUUGUAUUUGCCUUGCUUUUCGUUGUGCUUUUAAUUAUAUUUCAUUGUGUUCGAUGACUGACGUUGUAGUCCAUCUCUUGCUAAUGGCCGAGUUGUUUCCCUCAUUUAAGCAAUGUCUCUCUGCCUUUGAGAGCACACCUUGCAGAGCUUUAUUCCCAUUGGCUUUAGUGGUUGUUGCAUUCCAGAUUGUUCCUCUCUCAGUUACUGUGUUAGGAUUUUGAUAGUUAUAUGCAUUUUGAAACUAAGGGAAUCCUAUUUAUUUAGAUUAAAUAACAAAACAUAUAAAGCAAUCCUCUGAGGGCAGUUUUAAUAUUGUUAAUCAGCCCCCCCCCAACCACCACCAGUGAUUUAAAUAGGGAAAAGUAAAAUCUGUAGGUUUUGGUCCAUUAACAGCAGAUGGUUCUUCCAGAUCAGUGUGAUUCUAUACUGACUCCCUAGUAAGGGGAUUUUCUUUUCUGUCCUUUUCUUGGCUAAAUCCGUUGGACAGCAUUAUUCUUUGUAGGUGGCAAACAGACGCUCAAACAAAUGAGUUUCAUUAUGACCGUAAUCCUGCCUUUAUGGCACCGUUGUUUUUGAGUGUACUCUUCUGUAGACAGGAAUAAUUUCUGUAGACAGGAAUAAGUUCUUUAGUUUUUGUGACUUUCAGCAACUCUAAGAUUUUGAUGUACUCCUGGGUCAUGUGUGAGGGUCUGGUUUCUGGCACAGGUGCUGCUGAAAAGUUUGUCCUUUCCCAGCUAAGAGCACUGGGUGUGCAGUUUCUUCCUAACCCAAGUGCUAGCGCUGUGAGCUGUGUUUGCAGGCAUGGGAAAUCUGUGCAGCUUCCCAUAGCAUGAAGUGGGCUGACUCUCUGUCGGAACAUAGUCAGGCAGCUCUGUCUUUCUGAGAAAACACACAGCUUUGUCAGUGUUGAUGUGCUAACCCAACUCUCACCUCAAAAGAAAAAGAGAGAUAACUUAGUCUAGGCCAAUUGAGCAUUUCCCUAAUACUCACAAAGCUAGUCACACACGGGAGUGAGCAGUAAAUGGCUAUUCAUGUUCUAGAAUAACCUGUGAUGAAAGCGAUUCCCUAAUACUCACAAAGCUAGUCACACACGGGAGUGAGCAGUAAAUGGCUAUUCAUGUUCUAGAAUAACCUAUGAUGAUUUGGUUCUGUGCUUUCAAUAUUCCAUCUCCCUACAAUCACUGGAAUUGUAACCAGUCUCAUAGGUUAUUUAAUACAGGUAUGGCUUUUUCUUUGCCACAUCCCUUCACAUUGGACAAACAUCUGGUUAUUAAAAAUACAUUUUAUUGUUAGCCUUUAAUAUAUAUUAAAACAAUGGAAAUUUAUCUUUAUUUUUCUUUGUUUGCAUCUUAAAUUUCAUAAGAGACUUUUACUUAAUUUUGUUUACUCUCCAAAAUGUUGAGAAAUCUGAAGUAGACUAUGUUCCAGGUUUAUAUUGGUAUCAUUUGUUGAAAUGAUACCUGUGCCAAGAACUGUUCUAGGCAUGGGAGAUCCCAGCAGAUCUCCUCAGCCCUACCAUCCCUUCUUGGAUCGUUAGAACCACUCAGAAGCUCAACAAGACCCUGGGUCCCAUCAUCUUAAAUGCCAGAUACAGGAUAUUUAUAACACUAACCAGGGCUCGUGGUUCAUCACAAGAUGAAAUAGAGCUUCUGUGUCAAUAAAUAAAGUAACAACAGAAACUAAGAAAUAAAUCUUUCCAUACCCUGUAUACAUUUACAAAGUUUUUGUGUGUGGUGUAUUCAAAACCUUGCUAUGCAGCUGAAGUCCUAAGUAACUAUGAAACCCAGCAUCUCAGCCUCACUUCAGACUUACCAAAUAGAAACCCUCCUAUCAGUGAUACGUCCAGGUCAGAGUUAAGUCCCUGGAAAUGUGGGAAACACUGGCAUAAGAGGCGUUCCACACACUUUUCAGAAAUAAUGAAAACUAGCAGAACCUCAUAUUAAACGCUUAUGCUUGUUACUACCCAGUUGCAAUGCGUGUGACGCAUAUUUCAAUAAUGU